CCCCUUUACACUUGCUUGAUUAAUUCCUAUCUUGUUACUGAUCCUUUUGGAACUAUGGACAUAAACGCGCGCGAAAUAACCGGACCGGACCCGGGGGCGGUACCCGGCGGCUCCACCAAAAUCCUCGUUGGGGGACUUUAGGGGCCGAAAUAGGAUCGACGGACGACUAAAGGCGUUAGCUUUGUCUCGGCGGGGUACCACCGUUAUCGGUCCGUAAAGCAUAAUUGCCAACGACAAUCGUGCUCCGGUUGCACUUGCUGCGUAAGCGCAAGGAAACCGAAAAUUUUAGUCCUCAACGCCUAGCAGCGUGAGGCGGGGCCUUGUCGGAGCCUGGCAACAGAAUCCGACUAUU
rnacentral:tmRNA from 1 species